UCUGUAUUAUCUGUGGCGCGCAAUUUUUCGCGCUCAUUUGUGCGUGUUUUGACUUGAACGGUCGCUUCCGGAUGCUUGUUUAUUUCGUUGUCGCAAUGCCCCCAUACCCCAUCGGUCACAGAUCUGAAGAAACUGGCGCCUAAGGGCUGCCAGUCGAAGAAAAAAUUCCAGCUACGAUGGACGUGGAAGCAGGGAGCUCGGUGAAAAAAGAGCCCCUCUACAUCGAGUCGCAUGCUGUGUAUUUUCCGCAUACACCGUACCAAUCCCAAAAGAUGGUCAUCAUAAAGGUCCUACAGGGCUUGAGGAAUGGAAGGAAUUGUCUCAUCGAGUCGCCCACGGGGAGCGGGAAGACCCUUGCCCUGCUUUGCUCGUGCCUGGCUUGGCAAAAGAAAAAGAAAGAAGUUCAUCAAGCGCAGGUGGAAAAGAUGAUGCAGGCAAUGCAAGGCA